UAAGAAUGCUAAAAGCAUCUACUUUGCGUGGUUUUAAGCUCGCUUGCAAAACCAGCAGCAAAGUGGCUCACUGUGGUGCCUGGCAGAAAGUAGAGCAGAAAGCUCAGUGAACUUUAGUGUUCUGAACCUGAAUCUGCUUUUCAUCAUAGUGUGUACUGAUGCAUGCAGCAAUGAAGACCAGAGGCGAGCUAUGCUGCACUGUGGGCUGGCCGAUAGCACAUGGAAGGCAGCAGUGGGAAAUGCAGUGCCAGAGCAGACCGCGUUCAUGGAGGGCCUUUUUUAUAUACUAACAAAGGAAAAUUCAAGUACCAUACAAAGAAGGAUCAAAGAUCGGUGCUUGAGAUAUUUUGCAGACCCUGAACUGGACGGCACCACCCAGAUUGAUAAACUGGCUCGUCUGAUCUUGUGGACCCCACCCAGGACCUGACUCAAAGCAGGAAGACCGCUUCAGCUUCCUAUGAUUUCAUCUCCAACCUGACCGAUCAGCACUCCAGGCUGAAUGGCUUCCACCCACCACCAAGUUGUUCUUAGAAACUCGGAUCCUUGAAUGUUUGGUGAGAUUGAUUCGAGUAAUAAUAAAACUCCAGUCUCCUGCACAGCAGGACCUCUAUGAGUUACUCUUUCUCUAUUGCAAUUCCCCUGCCUUUGAUAAAUCGGCUCUGUCUGGGCAGCAGGCAAAGUG
rnacentral:lncRNA from 1 species